AGCGGUAACGCGGGAGCAAUCCUGGCGACGAGCGGCGAACGGGUGAGUAAUGCUUCGGAAUCUUCCCAGUUGUGGGGAAUAACUAGCCGAAAGGUUAGCUAAUACCGCAUACGACCUACGGGUGAAAGCAGGGGAUCGCAAGACCUUGCGCUAUUGGAUGAGCCGAAGUCGGAUUAGCUAGUUGGUAGGGUAACGGCCUACCAAGGCGACAAUCCGUAGCUGGUCUGAGAGGACGACCAGCCACACUGGGACUGAGACACGGCCCAGACUCCUACGGGAGGCAGCAGUGGGGAAUAUUGGACAAUGGGGGAAACCCUGAUCCAGCGACGCCGCGUGUGUGAAGAAGGCCUGCGGGUUGUAAAGCACUUUUAGUGGGGAUGAAAAGCCGAAGGCUAAUACCUUUCGGUCUUGACCUAACCCACAGAAAAAGCACCGGCUAACUCUGUGCCAGCAGCCGCGGUAAUACAGAGGGUGCAAGCGUUAAUCGGAAUUACUGGGCGUAAAGCGUGCGUAGACGGUUAUGUAAGUCAGAUGUGAAAGCCCCGGGCUUAACCUGGGAAUGGCAUUUGAGACUGCAUAGCUAGGGUGCCGGAAAAAGGGAACCGGAAUUU
rnacentral:rRNA from 1 species